UACGUAGGGUGCGAGCGUUAAUCGGAAUUACUGGGCGUAAAGCGUGCGCAGGCGGUUCGUUGUGUCGGCGGUGAAAUCCCCGGGCUCAACCUGGGAAUGGCCGUUGAAACUGGCGAACUGGAGUGUGGCAGAGGGGGGUGGAAUUCCGCGUGUAGCAGUGAAAUGCGUAGAUAUGUGGAGGAACACCGAUGGCGAAGGCAGCCCCCUGGGAUGUGACUGACGCUCAUGUACGAAAGCGUGGGGAGCAAACAGG
rnacentral:rRNA from 1 species